GACGCCGCUUCGGAUGACUGGUUCUUCGAUCCGCCACCGCCGCUGACUGUUUCUUCGAUCCGCCGCCACCACUGAUUAUUUCUUCGAUCCGCCGCCGCCAGUUGAGCCGCGCGGCCGCUGUAUGACGACCAGGCAGCCUGGCCACGAUGUGUCCAGAUGCUUGAUCGGACUAGCAUGCCAUGGGAAUAGCAUAACAAGAAGAAAUAGUGCUAUGAACUAGUGUUUGCUUAUUUGUUUUGAAUUUGUAUUUUGGAAUAGACCGAAUUGUACUAUGACACCAUGUUUUAAUUA